AACGAACGCAGGCGGCAUGCCUAACACAUGCAAGUCGAACGAGAUCUUCGGGUCUAGUGGCGCACGGGUGCGUGACGCGUGGGAAUCUGCCCUUUGGUUCGGAAUAACAGUUGGAAACGACUGCUAAUACCGGAUGACGACGAAAGUCCAAAGAUUUAUCGCCAGAGGAUGAGCCCGCGUAGGAUUAGCUAGUUGGUGUGGUAAAGGCGCACCAAGGCGACGAUCCUUAGCUGGUCUGAGAGGAUGAUCAGCCACACUGGGACUGAGACACGGCCCAGACUCCUACGGGAGGCAGCAGUGGGGAAUAUUGGACAAUGGGCGAAAGCCUGAUCCAGCAAUGCCGCGUGAGUGAUGAAGGCCUUAGGGUUGUAAAGCUCUUUUACCCGGGAUGAUAAUGACAGUACCGGGAGAAUAAGCUCCGGCUAACUCCGUGCCAGCCGCCGCAGUAA
rnacentral:rRNA from 1 species